rnacentral:rRNA from 1 species
CAGAGGGGGCAAGCGUUGUUCGGAAUUACUGGGCGUAAAGGGCGCGUAGGCGGCCUGCUAAGUCGAACGUGAAAUCCCCGGGCUCAACCCGGGAACUGCGUCCGAUACUGGCAGGCUUGAAUCCGGGAGAGGGAUGCGGAAUUCCAGGUGUAGCGGUGAAAUGCGUAGAUAUCUGGAGGAACACCGGUGGCGAAGGCGGCAUCCUGGACCGGUAUUGACGCUGAGGCGCGAAAGCCAGGGGAGCAAACGGGAUUAGAUACCCCGGUAGUCCUGGCCCUAAACGAUGAAUGCUUGGUGUGGCGGGUAUCGAUCCCUGCCGUGCCGAAGCUAACGCAUUAAGCAUUCCGCCUGGGGAGUACGGUCGCAAGGCUG